UGAGUUGUCUUUGAGGCCCAGGGAGC
rnacentral:piRNA from 1 species